AUUGAACGCUGGCGGCAGGCCUAACACAUGCAAGUCGAACGAGUGGCGGACGGGUGAGUAAUGUCUGGGAAACUGCCCGUUGGAGGGGGAUAACUACUGGAAACGGUAGCUAAUACCGCAUACCAUCGGAUGUGCCCAGAUGGGAUUAGCUUGUAGGUGAGGUAACGGUUCACCUCGGCGACGAUCCCUAGCUGGUCUGAGAGGAUGACCAGCAAAACUGGAACUGAGACACGGUCCAGACUACUAUGGGAGGCAGCAGUGGGGAAGAGUGCACAAUGGGCGCAAGCCUGAUGCAGCCAUGCCGCGUGUAUGAAGAAGGCCGUCGGGUUGUAAAGUACUGGCAGCGGGGAGGCGGUACCCGAAGAAGAAGCACCGGCUAACUCCGUGCCAGCAGCAGCGGUAAUAC
rnacentral:rRNA from 1 species